GAUGAACGCUGGCGGCGUGCUUAACACAUGCAAGUCGAACGAAGCACUUUAUUUGAUUUCCUUCGGGAAUGAUUAUUUUGUGACUGAGUGGCGGACGGGUGAGUAACGCGUGGGUAACCUGCCUUGUACAGGGGGAUAACAGUUGGAAACGGCUGCUAAUACCGCAUAAGCGCACGGCAUCGCAUGAUGCAGUGUGAAAAACUCCGGUGGUAUAAGAUGGACCCGCGUUGGAUUAGCUAGUUGGUGAGGUAACGGCCCACCAAGGCGACGAUCCAUAGCCGACCUGGGAGGGUGACCGGCCACAUUGGGACUGAGACACGGCCCAAACUCCUACGGGAGGCAGCAGUGGGGAAUAUUGCACAAUGGGCGAAAGCCUGAUGCAGCGACGCCGCGUGAGCGAAGAAGUAUUUCGGUAUGUAAAGCUCUAUCAGCAGGGAAGAUAAUGACGGUACCUGACUAAGAAGCACCGGCUAAAUACGUG
rnacentral:rRNA from 1 species